GUGCUCACUUUGGCAGCACACACUAAAAAUUUAAAUGGUAAAAUAAGAUUAUGGCCCUUGUAAAGAAUGACAUGCAAAUUCAUGAACUAUUCUGUAUUUUU
rnacentral:snRNA from 1 species